CUGGUUGAUCCUGCCAGACCUGACUGCUAUCGGAUUGGUACUAAGCCAUGCGAGUCAUAGUAGCAAUACUAGGCAGACGGCUCAGUAACACGUAGUCAACCUAACCUAUGGACGCGGAUAACCUCGGGAAACUGAGAAUAAACCGCGAUAGAUCAUUAUACCUGGAAUGGUUUAUGGUCGAAACAGUUUACUGCCACAGGAUGGGACUGCGGCCUAUCAGCUUGUUGGUGAGGUAAUGGCCCACCAAGGCUAUAACAGGUACGGGCUCUGAGAGGAGAAGCCCGGAGAUGGGUACUGAGACACGGACCCAGGCCCUAUGGGGCGCAGCAGGCGAGAAACCUUAGCAAUGUGCGAAAGCACGACUGGGUCAGUCCGAGUGAUUCCUGCUAAAGGAAUCUUUUGCUUGUCCUAAAAGCACAGGUGAAUAAGGGGUGGGCAAGUCUGGUGUCAGCCGCCGCGGUAAUACCAGCACCUCGAGUGGUCAGGACGUUUAUUGGGCCUAAAGCAUCCGUAGCCGGUUUUGCAAGUCUCCGGUUAAAUCCACCUGCUCAACACAUGGGCUGCUGGAGAUACUACAAAACUAGGGAGUGGGAGAGGCAGACGGUAUUCAGUGGGUAGGGGUAAAAUCCUCUGAUCCUCUGAGGACCACCAGUGGCGAAGGCGGUCUGCCAGAACACGUUCGACGGUGAGGGAUGAAAGCUGGGGGAGCAAACCGUAUUAGAUACCCUGGUAGUCCCAGCUGUAAACGAUGCAAACUCGGUGAUGCGUUGGUUUAUGGCCAACGCAGUGCCGCAGGGAAGCAGUUAAGUUUGCCGCCUGGUAAGUACGGACGUAAGUCUGAAACUUAAAGGGAUUAGCGGGGGAGCACCAC
rnacentral:rRNA from 1 species